rnacentral:pre_miRNA from 1 species
UUAACUCAAUUUUGUAUGCAGUUGGAACAACGCCCCUAGCGGCAAACGUGGGCAAACGUUCCAACUCCAUACAAAUCUUAUCUU